rnacentral:lncRNA from 1 species
UUCGGGGCUCGCGGCAAGGAGAACAAAAUGGCGGCCGAAGUAGACGCACCCGUUGGAUGAAAUCAGGAGAAGGGAUUUCAAGAAAUGGCCUUGGCUAAUCUUUAUUUCCUUUGCCGUUGUUGCCAACUCUGCCAAAAUUCCCGGCAUCUGCCUUUUACUUCCACAAUCUACGGUUGGUCUUCAGCUAGGAAUAUUAGCCACUACGACGUUCUGGGGAUCAAACAAGAUGCUACUUCAAAGGAGAUCAAACAAGCCUUUUUUAGGAAAUCAAAACAGGUGAGCUUCCAUUUUGGGGUGGGGAGGGGGGAAGGAAGGGGGAGAG